CGGGCGGCGGCCGCGGUGGAGCUAGCGGGGAGAAAGAAAGGAUGCGGCCGCCUGUGUUGACUUGUGGCCUGCUGUCACAGCACGGGCUGGAGGCUAGCCGCUGCUAGCAGCCAGGGGAGGGCUCGGGCUCCGGGGCGAACAAGGGAGUCUGCGGGCUCCGAAUGUCCAGCCUGGGAGGUCGAUGCUCCUGCAGCAUCACCAGAGGAGGCUGAGAUGUUUCUCUACUAGCUUACCUGUAAAGCUUCAGCCUGAAGCUUGGCUCACUGGCUGUUGGUGUUUCUGAGCUGUUGCAGCAUCUCAUGGUCACUGAACCGGUGAUGAAAUCAUCAAACCUGUGUGCUCGUGUCUCCAGCACGGCCGCAGCAUGUUUCUAAAUGAUGAGCUAAAGCAUGGCAACAGAGUUGUGGUUUGACGCCAGAAAAAGCUCCGAUGCAGAUAAAUUCAGAUCUGUGACAUUCACACUGCUGCUCGCAGGCCUGCAGCUGGACUCAAGCUCCCAGUACCAACCCUCUAAGUCAGAUUUACCUUCACACUUACCUACAGCAUUUACAAAUUUGGGCUUUAUAUCUUUAUUAUAAAACUAAAAAACAAAUGCAUCCUUCUGUUCUGCAGUUUUUAGAUGUCCUGAAUAUAAUGGAGAAGAAUAUUGUUGAAGGAGCUUGCAGGGUUACGAGCAGGAAGUUAAAGAUGUGCUUUCCUCUGGUUAUCAUCAUUUUAGG
ensembl:lncRNA